UAAGGAAUAUUGGUCAAUGGGCGCAAGCCUGAACCAGCCACGCCGCGUGAAGGAAGACGGCCCUAUGGGUUGUAAACUUCUUUUCUACGGGAAUAAACCUCAGGACGUGUCCUGAGCUGAAGGUAUCGUAGGAAUAAGGAUCGGCUAACUCCGUGCCAGCAGCCGCGGUAAUACGGAGGAUCCAAGCGUUAUCCGGAUUUAUUGGGUUUAAAGGGUGCGUAGGUGGGAUGAUAAGUCAGAGGUGAAAGCUAGCAGCUUAACUGUUAAAUUGCCUUUGAUACUGUCGUUCUUGAGUAUAGUUGGCGUUGGCGGAAUGUGACAUGUAGCGGUGAAAUGCGUAGAUAUGUCACAGAACACCGAUCGCGAAGGCAGCUAACGAAACUAUCACUGACACUGAUGCACGAAAGCGUGGGGAGCAAACAGG
rnacentral:rRNA from 1 species